rnacentral:rRNA from 1 species
UACAGAGGGGGCAAGCGUUGUCCGGAAUUACUGGGCGUACAGCGCGCGCAGGCGGACUCCCACGUGCCGUGUGACAAGCCACCGCUCAACGGUGGAGGGCCAGGGUACACGAGGGGUCUGGAGGCAGGGAGAGGGAUGUGGAAUGCCCGGUGGAGCGGUGAAAUGCGCAGAUAUCGGGAGGAACACCAAUGGCGAAGGCAGCUUGCUGGGACGGUACUGACGCUGAGACGCGAAAGCGUGGGGAGCGAACAGG